rnacentral:rRNA from 1 species
UACGGAGGGUGCAAGCGUUAUCCGGAUUCACUGGGUUUAAAGGGUGCGUAGGUGGGUUGGUAAGUCAGUGGUGAAAUCUCCGAGCUUAACUUGGGAAACUGCCAUUGAUACUAUCAGUCUUGAAUACCGUGGAGGUCAGCGGAAUAUGUCAUGUAGCGGUGAAAUGCUUAGAGAUGACCCGGAACACCGAUUGCGAAGGCAGCCCACUACGCAACUAUUGACGCUGAGGCACGAAAGCGUGGGGAUCAAACAGG